CGAAAUCGGUGAACGCUACGGACUUAAAAUCCGUCGACUUU
rnacentral:tRNA from 1 species